AUUGAACGCUGGCGGCAGGCCUAACACAUGCAAGUCGAACGAGUGGCGGACGGGUGAGUAAUGUCUGGGAAACUGCCUGAUGGAGGGGGAUAACUACUGGAAACGGUAGCUAAUACCGCAUACCAUCGGAUGUGCCCAGAUGGGAUUAGCUAGUAGGUGGGGUAAAGGUUCACCUAGGCGACGAUCCCUAGCUGGUCUGAGAGGAUGACCAGCCAUCCUGGAACGUAGACACGUGCCCGACUCCUACGGCAGGCAGCAGUGGGGAAUAUUUCACAAUGGGCGCAAGCCUGAUGCAGCCAUGCCGCGUGUAUGAAGAAGGCCUUCGGGUUGUAAAGUACUUUCAGCGGGGAGGCGUUACCCGCAGAAGAAGCACCGGCUAACUCCGUGCCAGAAGCCGCGGUAAUAC
rnacentral:rRNA from 1 species